rnacentral:misc_RNA from 1 species
AUUUGUCUUACUCACUCAAUCUGAAACUCUUUUUUGUCGUUUUCUCAUGCAUCCCUCGAGGAAUUACACCGGCGAAGCGCCGUCGGAGUUGCGGUGGCAGAGGGGGAAAAUGUUGCCGGUGAAGAGGGAGGUAGACCUUGAAAACUUUUCCGAUGAAGAACGCUGCAAACUCGACAAGCGAUUCAAGCUUUCCUCUUCUCUGCAACAGCAACUGGGUGAAGGAGCUUGUAAUUUUACUGUUUCAUCAUCGUUCAUGUCGGUAGAUGAACCCAGUCCAUUAGGUUUGCGGCUAAGAAAGACCCCAUCACUGUUGGAUAUGUUCCAAACGAUGCUUGGGGGCACCUCCAUGGUGGAAAG